GAAUGUGAGGGCGAUCAGGCUGCGACAUCUAUCACCCCAUUGAUGGUCAGAGUUGAUUCUGCUAAUCUGGCUGGAUAGGCGGUGUCCCUUUCCUCAUUCACUGUUCCAUGAGCAUCCCUCCCAAAGCUAUGCACUCAGUGGGAGGGGACAACCUUCCUCAAAUAAGGAUGGGCAGGUCUUCGGUAGAAGGUACACAAGUGGCUACACCCCCCUUCUAGAACCUCCAAAUAAGUUAUCAAGGUCCAUCAUCCCCCUUAGCAAGAUUUGUGAGGGCCAGGGAGAGCUCACUGGGUAGAGAGAGCUCACUCACCACAGACACAGCCUGAGUUCA
rfam:Erinaceus europaeus unplaced genomic scaffold scaffold00202, whole genome shotgun sequence